rnacentral:rRNA from 1 species
AGCAGCCGCGGUAAUUCCAGCUCCAAUAGCGUAUAUUAAAGUUGUUGCAGUUAAAAAGCUCGUAGUUGAAUUUCGGGAUCAAGGAAUCGGUCAUGCCUCGGUAUGUACUGGUUUUAUUGGUUCUCACCUUCUAAAGAACCAUGAUGUCAUUCAUUUGAUGUUAUGGGGAAUUAGGACUGUUACCUUGAAAAAAUUAGAGUGUUUAAAGCAGGCUUACGCUUGAAUACAUUAGCAUGGAAUAAUGAAAUAGGACAUCAGAUUCUAUUUUGUUGGUUUCUAGGAUCGAUGUAAUGAUUAAUAGGGAUAGUUGGGGGCAUUAGUAUUCAAUUGUCAGAGGUGAAAUUCUUGGAUUUAUUGAAGACUAACUACUGCGAAAGCAUUUGCCAAGGAUGUUUUCAUUAAUCAAGAACGAAAGUUAGGGGAUCGAAGACGAUCAGAUACCGUCGUAGUCUUAACCAUAAACUAUGCCGACUAGGGAUCGGAUGAUGUUUAUUUUUUAGUGACUCAUUCGGCACCUUACG